UCUCAGUUCAUUCAUUUCUUGAUAACCUCUGUUUUGCUGCCAUAUUGAAGUUAUAUACAUAAUGAUGAUAUGCUCUUAUAGAUGUCACAUGUUCAAAACAGGGCUUUAAUUUUGAUAUUUACAAAUUGUUAGGACUGUUUGAUAAGUCCCUGCUUCAUCAUAUCCAUGUCUCUCCUAACUUAACUUAUAGGAUAAUGGUUAUCCUACUUUACAUCAAUCAUCAUCAUACAAUUUUCUGUUUGUAGCAUCAGUAUGCUGACUCUGAACUAUUCAACAAAUUAAGUGAUCAGAAUUUGAAGACUGGUUCAUUCUUUAUUGAACCUUUGGUAAAUGAUUUCUUUUAGCAUACAGUCAUGAUUUAUGUCUUGUCAGCAUUUCUGUUAUGUGAUCCAUCCACUCAUAGUCGGAUUCUUUUCCAUGUGUGGCUUCUCUCUGUUGACUCUAAAUAAAUGUACAACAAAGAAAGAAUUAUAAGUAUAAUUCUUUCUUGAAUAAUAGUAAUAAGGUAUUAUUAGUCUAAAAUCAAAUAGUAGAAAAGAAAACUAAGAUGAAAAAAAAAUUAUUGAACUUCUAAAAAAAAUAUUUACAAAUCUUGAAUUAAUGUACAUGUUGAUAUCACAAAUUUAUAAAUAUAAGAAGUGGGGUGUAUACCUCAACUGGUGACGCCGAUGGAAGAAGGGAGAACCAUUGGGAAGUAUUAGUUGGCCCAGGGGAUAAAAGCAUGGUGCUUCCUCCGAUGCUUGGUCCUGUUAAAAGCUGGGUUUGGAGUUGUUGCUAUUGAUGCCAACCUUUUUUCAUCAUUGCUGGAUACUCAGUUGUCAUCGGAAAGGAGUGUGUUUCAGAUGAUGUUUAUCAGUAUGAUUCUCGGGUUAAUAGGUAUGUGAUAUGAUUCUUAAACAUAUUAUGUGCAUGUUUUUCUUAUUCUAAAUAAACAGUGACUAUUUUUUAACUGAAUUCAUUUAUCUUUCCUCCGUGUAUUAUGAUUGUUGAUAUCAGCACAAGUAAAUAAUAAUUGAGAGUGAUAAAUAUAUUUAAUCUCAAUCAGGAACCAAGAGCUUAUAAGUUCAUCAGAUCGUCCUUAACUUUAGAGAUGUUUUUU
rnacentral:lncRNA from 1 species